rnacentral:rRNA from 1 species
GUGAGAAACCCUGUCGCCGAAAGUCCAAGGGUUCCUGCUCAAGGCUAAUCCGAGCAGGGUGAGCCGGCCCCUAAGGCGAGGCCGAAAGGCGUAGUCGAUGGGAACCAGGUUAAUAUUCCUGGGCCAGGAGGAUGUGACGGAUCAUGAAGGUUGUUCCCCCUUAUUGGAUUGGGGGGGCCGCUAAUUGGUUCCUGGAAAUAGCCCUCCAUCAGAUCGUACCCGAAACCGACACAGGUGGACUGGUAGAGAAUACCAAGGCGCUUGAGAGAACCAUGUUGAAGGAACUCGGCAAAAUGCCUCCGUAACUUCGGGAGAAGGAGGCCCCGUCUCUGGGCAACCAGGGGCGGGGGGCACAAAACAGGGGGUAGCGACUGUUUACUAAAAACACAGGGCUCUGCAAAGUCGCAAGACGACGUAUAGGGUCUGACGCCUGCCCGGUGCCGGAAGGUUAAGAGGAGAGGUGCAAGCCUUGAAUUGAAGCCCCGGUAAACGGCGGCCGUAACUAUAACGGUCCUAAGGUAGCGAAAUUCCUUGUCGGGUAAGUUCCGACCUGCACGAAUGGCGUAACGAUGGCCACGCUGUCUCCACCCGAGACUCAGUGAAAUUGAAAUCGCGGUGAAGAUGCCGUGUACCCGCGGCUAGACGGAAAGACCCCGUGAACCUUUACUACAGCUUCGCACUGGACAUUGAUCCUAUUUGUGUAGGAUAGGUGGGAGGCUUUGAAGCGUGGACGCCAGUCUGCGUGGAGUCAUCCUUGAAAUACCACCCUUUUAGUUUUGAUGUUCUAACGUGGGCCCGUGAAUCGGGGUUACGGACAGUGUCUGGUGGGUAGUUUGACUGGGGCGGUCUCCUCCUAAAGCGUAACGGAGGAGCACGAAGGUUGGCUAAGUACGGUCGGACAUCGUACGGUUAGUGUAAUGGUAGAAGCCAGCUUAACUGCGAGACAGACACGUCGAGCAGGUACGAAAGUAG